AUUGAACGCUAGCGGCAGGCUUAACACAUGCAAGUCGAACGAGUGGCGGCCGGGUGAGUAAUGCUUGGGAAUCUAGCUUAUGGAGGGGGAUAACUACGGGAAACGGUAGCUAGUACCGCAUACCAUCAGAUGAACCCAUAUGGGAUUGGCUUGUAGGUGAGGUAACGGCUCACCUAGGCGACGAUCCCUAGCUGGUCUGAGAGGAUGAGCAGCAACGCUGGGACUGAGACACGGCCCGGACUCCUACGGGAGGAAGCAGUGGGGAAUAUUGCAAAAUGGGCGCAAGCCUGAUGCAGCCAUGCCGAGUGUAUGAAGAAGGCCUUCGGGUUGUAAAGUACUUGCAGUCGGGAGGCGUUACCGACAGAAGAAGCACCGGCUAACUCCGUGCCAGCAGCCGCGGUAAUUC
rnacentral:rRNA from 1 species